rnacentral:lncRNA from 1 species
UUUUUUUUUUUUUUUUUUUUUUUCAAGAACUGCUGGUGUGGAGAGGAGGGACUUGACAGGGGGUCCAAAGUCUGGAAAUUCCACAGAGGAAAGAACAAAGGAAGAUGUAGUAGGAGUAUGUUUAUUCCUCUUGGAUAAUUUUUUCCUCCUCUAAGAAUGAGGAACAAGGAGAGAAUUUUGUAGUUUGUUUCAGUAGAAAAGUACAGAAGAUGGCAAAUGGCACUCAGAAUUUACCUUGUGGAUAGGAUAUAUUCAUACUACCUUGAAUAGUAAAAGAAAAUAAGUACCUUAAAAAGCUGCUAAGAGAAAAUGAACAUUUAGGAAUAAUGGUUGGCUAUUUUCCUUAUUUUUAAAAGAGAUUCUUGGGGUUUUUUCUGAGGAUUAUAUGAAAGUUAAAAGAAAACGUUGUUGAGUAAACACUAGAAAUCUAUGUUAUCUAAGUUAUUUCCAUUGAAUAGUAAUUUUAUUAUUUCAUAUAAUCAUUUUUAUGUAAUUAUGUGAUGAGCUCGUGUUAUACUUAUGCUUAAAAAUGACUCUUUUGGGGAGUUCCCGUUGUGGCUCAGUGGUUAACAACUCCAAUUAGUAACCAUGAGGUUGAGGGUUUAAUCCCUGGCCUUGUUCAGUGGGUUAAGGAUCUGGCAUUGCCAUGAGCUGUGAUGUAGGUCCCAGAGGCGGCUUGGAUCUGGCAUUGCUGUGGUUCCAGCAUAGGCCGGUAGCUGUAGCUCAGUUUAGACCCCUAGCCUGGGAACCUCCAUAUGCCAUGGGUAUGGCCCUAAAAAGACAAAAAAAAAAAGACUUUUGAAAUAUGUUGUAUGAAAGGUAUUAAAAUCAAUUUCAGAGUUAAAAAAAAAAAAGAAAGAUUCCUUUGUCUCUGCUGACUUUAUGUCUUCAUGAGGGUUAUUGUUUAUUUUUUUAUUUGCUUUUUAGGGCCGCACCCGAGGCACAUGGAAGUUCCCAGGCCAGGCAUGGAAUCAGAGCUACCGUUGCCGGCCCAUGCCACAGCCACAGCAACUCAGGAGCCUUAACCACUGAGCGAGGCCAGGCAGCUAACUAACCCUCAUCCUCACGCUGCACCACAGUGGGAACUCCUGAAGGUUAUUGUUUUAACAAAGGUCUGCAUGCCCACAGCUGCUUGAGAAGAAAGAAUUUCACCACAAAUCAGGAAAAUCAAAACAAAAUUAGAAAGGAAACAAAACACUUUUAAAACAUUCUAGACCCAGGAUAGGGCCUGAAAGAGCAGGAUUUUCACCCAAAACUGUAUAAAUCAUUCUUCACAUUCCAUUUACACAAUGUGCAAACAGAGAGGUCAGCUGUCUGGCCAGCACUCACAAGCACCCACCCAGGAAUUCGGUUCUUCCAGACCCAUGUUCCCCAAGGGUGGCAGCUAUGCUCUGAAACUUCUCUUACUGCCCUGGCAUGCAUCUAUGUGUAUGCUUGCAUUAAAUCCCAUCUGGUGCUAUUCAGGUGAUUUUAAUUGAAACACUGAAUAUGGCGAGUAGUUGAGAUAAUGCAUUGAAAGUUUUCCACAAGAUGAAAUUGCAUCUUCUGGCAUUUUAUUUUUGAUUAACUGGCUAGGUUGAUAUUGUUUCUGAGCAAAAGCUUUCUAUGAAAAGCAUGUCUUAUGACAGAAAGGGGCUAUCAUGAGCUGAGCAGUCACACCAACCAGAAGGCUUUCUCUAAUGUAAACCCUGUCAGGGACUUCCCAAUGUGGCUCGGCAGUAACAAACCUGACUAGUAUCCAUGAGGACACAUUUGAUCCAUGGCCUCGCUAAAUGGGUUGAGGAUCCAGCGUUGCUGUGCCUGUGGGGUAGGCCGGCAGGUGUAGCUCCAAUUUGACCCCUAGCCUGGGAACUUCCUUAUGCCAUGGGUGUGUCCCUAAAAAGACAAAAAAAAUAGUAAAAUUUUUAAAAAUAACAAAUUAAACCCUGUCAGCUGCCAGAGGCCCUAUAGAAAGGACAGAAAGGAGAGGGAUUAAGUGAAUAUCCUUGAUAACAGCUCUGCUGUAAGUGAUAUAAUGAGAAUAAAUAAACAAAGAGUUUAUUUGAAUAAAUAAAGAGUUGAGGAAAAUCAUGGGUACCCAGAUUCACAGUGUUUAGUUAGCCUAGCUGAAGCCGAAUACACUAUUUCCACUUCUUUUUCUUACAAGUUUAUGAUACUCGCAUCUCCAGGCUUAGGCUGAAUGCUUAGCUUUUUGUCUCAGACUUAUAUCACUGCUCAGCCUUUUGGCUAAGAUCAAGUGAAGUUUAGCCUUAUAAGCUGCAGGAUGCAAUACCUCUUCAAACAGCCAAAUGAUGCAUACACAAGUUCUAUUUGGUAUUCAUUUCCGCCUGUCCACAGCAAUGAACCACUGAUUCUGAAUCUACUGCACAUUGGUUUUAUACAUCAAGUAUUGCAGAUGAAAAGUCUGCUAGCCUUCUGAUUUUCUUUCCCUUCCGGGGAAGGAAAAGUACUUUUAUUUUUAUCCUUUAGGAUUUUCUUUUUAUCUCAAGCGCUAAUGUGCUAAUUUUUGUGAAAGGUCCAUGUCUAGGUUCAAUAAUUUUUGCAUCUAGACUUCUAAUUAUUCCAGCACGGUUUGUUAAAAAGAUUAUCCUUUCUCUACUGAAUUGCCUUUGCUCUUUUGUCAAAGGAUCUACUUCUAAGCUCCUUAAUCCAUGUCAUUCAUCUAUAUCAAUCUAUAGAUCUGUCACCAAUACCAUGCCCUCAGCUUGCCCUGUAAGAAAGGUUUAGCAACAUAUACUCCCAAUAACAGUUUUACCAUUGCUCCACAUCCUCGUCAAUACUGUUAUCUGUCUUUUUAAAUUUUUUUCCUAUCUAUUAGACUCUCCUCCCUACCUCCAGAUAUUUAUUUUUUCAAGAGGGCUAAUGUGUUGUAUUUUUAAUGACUGUGUUGUGUUUUUAAUGAUUUGUCAGUGCUGUUUACAUAUUAUAGAUAUUGACCUUUUUGUUACCAAUAUUGCAAAUAGUUCCCUCAAAUUUCCUAGUUAUCCUUUUAACUUUGUUUCCCUUUUAUUACACAGAAGUUCUUCAUUUCUAUGUAACCAAACCAGUCUUUUAAGUUUCAUGGCUUGUGUAAAUGUUUUACUUCUGUGUUUCAUUUCUUACUUAGAAAAGCCUUUGACACCUGCCAGGUACCUUGGAGUCCAGUUAUCAAUCAAGUUAUAGCAACUGUGGGGAACCUGUGGUUUACAUAUUUUCAUUUGAAAAUUUUUGCUUUCUCAUAUUAUCACUGUCAUUUUCUUAACACUAUCUAAUAUCCAACCUAGCUAAUAAAUCUAAUGCCACUUCAAAAAAAAAUAUUUGUGUCUUACUGGAAAUAGAUAUAAAGUGGAUAAAAAUAAAUGUAAAUUGAACUCUUAGGUAUAUAUCCCAAAGAACUGAAACCAGGUGUGCAAACAGAAAUCUGUGUACAAAUAUUUGCAUAGAGCUCUUCACAAAAGCCAAAAGGCAGAAACAAGCCAAAUGUCCUUUGGAUGAUGAGUGGAUAAACAAACACAGUAUACCAGAUAUUGGAAUAGUAUCAGGAGUGAAAUGCCAAUACACGCUACAACCUAAGGGACCUGCAAAACAUUAUGCUAUGUACAAAGUAGCCAGACACAAAAUUUCUCAUACUGUGUGACUCCAUUUACAUGAAAUAUUGAGAAUAAGUAAAUUCAUAGAGACAGAAAGCAGAUUCAAGGUUGCUAGGGACUGUGGGGAGGGGAUAAUAGAGACUGCAUAAUGAGUAUGGUGUUGCCUUAUGGGGGGAUGAACAUGUUUUGGAACUAGAUAGAGGCAAUGGUUGUGCAACAUUUGUGAAUAUACUAAAUGCCCCUGAAUUAUACAUUAUUUUUUAAUUUCUUUUAUCAUUACUUAGAAAUAAUUGUAUAUCAAAUAUCAGUAUAUGAUGUAUCAUUAUCACAAAAAGAGGAAUAAGAGGGAAAGACAAUCUCGAAUUUCACCUACCAAUUACCAGGAUGUUCCAAUGAACAAAUCAACUUCAUGUUCACCUCGUCCAUCUACAGAACUCAUUGAUAUUAGCCAAAUUAGCUGCACAGCUAUGUUUCAACUUUAACAUUUGCAAUAUUUUAUUUUUUAAUUUUUAUUUCAUAUUGGUAUAUAGUUGAUUUACAAUGUUAUAUUAGUUUCAGGUAUACAGAAAGGGAUUCAGUUUUAUAUAUAUAUACACACAUAUAUAUAUAUAUUCUUUUUCAAAUUCUUUUCCCAUAUAGGUUAUUACAGAAUAUUGAGUAGAUUUCCUUGUACUAUAUAGUAGGUCCUGUUGAUUAUCUAUUUUAUAUACAGUAGUAAUGUGUAUAUGUUAAUCCCUAACUCCUAAUUUAUCUCUCCCCCACCUUUCCCUUUUGGUAACCAUAAAUUGGUUUUCUAAGUCUGUGAGUCUGUUCCUGUUUUGUAAAUAAGUUCACUUGUAUGAUUUUUUUAGAUUCUACAUAUAAAUGAUGUCAUAUAUUUGUUUUUCUCUGUCUGACUUACUUCACUUAGUAUGAUAAUCUCUAGGCCCAUCUAUGUUCCUAUAAAUGGCAUUAUUUUAUUCUUUUUUACAGCUGAGUAAUAUUUUGUUGCAUACAUGUACCACAUAUCCUUUAUCUAGUCCUCUGUCAAUGGACAUUUAGGUUGCUUCUACGUCUUGGCUGUUGUAAAUGGUGCUGCAAUGAACACUGGGGUACAUAUAUCUUUCUGAAUUACGGUUUUCUCUGCGUAUAUGCCCAGGAGUGGGAUUGCUGGAUCAUAUGGCAACUAUAAUUUUCUUCUUUUUUGAGGAACCUCCAUACUGUUCUCCAUGGUGGUGAAACUGAGCAGGGCGCUGUGAUGCUCCUGGACACAAAAGGCUUUCCAUGUCCCCUAUUUCUUAUUUUUAGGAAAUGGGCUUCAUUCAGCCUCCAUGGCCUUCUGAGUUCCAAGGAGCAGGUUCAGACAGUUACUAAUCAGGGCAGGGAGGGGAUGCAGAGGCAAGGGAGGAGCAGUCAAGAAUCAAUAGUGCACAGAGUUCCCUUCGUGGUGCAGUGGUUAAAGAAUCCGACUAGGAACCAUGGAGUUGCAGGUUUUCCCUGGCCUUGCUCAGUGGGUUGAGGAUCUGGCGUAGCUGUGAGUUAUGGUGUAGGUCACAGACACGGCUUGGCUCAGAUCCUGCGUUGCUGUGGCUCUGGUGUAGGCUCUACAGCUCCGAUUCGACCCCUAGCCAGGGGACUCCAUGUACU